UACGAACCGUACGAACGUUAUUCGGAAUCACUGGGCUUAAAGGGUUUGUAGGCGGCCUUGUAAGUGGGGUGUGAAAUCCCUCGGCUCAACCGAGGAAUAGCGCUCCAAACUACAUGGCUUGAGGGAGACAGGGGUAAGCGGAACUGAUGGUGGAGCGGUGAAAUGCGUUGAUAUCAUCAGGAACACCGGUGGCGAAAGCGGCUUACUGGGUCUCUUCUGACGCUGAGAAACGAAAGCUAGGGUAGCGAACGGG
rnacentral:rRNA from 1 species